rnacentral:rRNA from 1 species
CCUACGGGUGGCAGCAGUGGGGAAUAUUGCACAAUGGGCGAAAGCCUGAUGCAGCAACGCCGCGUGAAGGAAGAAGGGUUUCGGCGCGUAAACUUCUAUCAAUAGGGACGAAAGACAUGACGGUACCUGAAUAAGAAGCCCCGGGUAACUACGUGCCAGCAGCCGCGGUAAGCCGGAGGGGGCAAGCGUUAUCCGGAUUUACUGGGUGUAAAGGGUGAGUAGGCGGCAUGGUAAGCCAGAUGUGAAAGCCUUGGGCUUAACCUGAGAAUUGCAUUUGGAACUAUCAAGCUAGAGUACAGGAGAGGAAGGCGGAAUUCGUAGUGUAGCGGUGAAAUGCGUAGAUAUUACGAAGAACCCCGGUGGCGAAGGCAGCUUUCUGGACUGAAACUGACGCUGAGGCACGAAAGCGUGGGGAGCGAACAGGAUUAGAUACCCGAGUAGUC